GAUCCCCUGCGAUCGAAUCAGGUCCGGAACUAGUUCAAGCGUUCUAUCGUGAGUACCACGUAGUUUGGCUCCUGAGCUCAUACAGCAGCUAGGUGAUGCCUGACGCUGCCCCGGAAUACAAGGCCAUGGCGUCAAGUUGAUAUCCAUGAUUCGAUUCACAUACUAUCGCAUUGCGCGCUUUCUAUGAUGCAGACCAAAGCUCGUGUGAAAGUUUUAGUUAUAACUGUUAUCAGAGUCUGCGUUACUGACGAGUUGAAGUCCUUUGCGCGAGCCGCCAAAGCAAAGAGGUACGUUCACAAAGGGGAGAGUCGAGCCGAGCUCGAAAACUCGUACUUCCGUAGGGUAACCUGCGGAAGGAUCAUUACCGAGUUUUCGAGCUCCGGCUCGACUCUCCCACCCUUUGUGAACGUACCUCUGUUGCUUUGGCGGCUCCGGCCGCCAAAGGACCUUCAAACUCCAGUCAGUAAACGCAGACGUCUGAUAAACAAGUUAAUAAACUAAAACUUUCAACAACGGAUCUCUUGGUUCUGGCAUCGAUGAAGAACGCAGCGAAAUGCGAUAAGUAAUGUGAAUUGCAGAAUUCAGUGAAUCAUCGAAUCUUUGAACGCACAUUGCGCCCCUUGGUAUUCCGGGGGGCAUGCCUGUUCGAGCGUCAUUACAACCCUCAAGCUCUGCUUGGAAUUGGGCACCGUCCUCACUGCGGACGCGCCUCAAAGACCUCGGCGGUGGCUGUUCAGCCCUCAAGCGUAGUAGAAUACACCUCGCUUUGGAGCGGUUGGCGUCGCCCGCCGGACGAACCUUCUGAACUUUCUCAAGGUGACCUCGAUCAGUAGUGC
rnacentral:rRNA from 1 species